UCUGGUGCUGUCGCCUUUACAAUUCAAGGUCAUAUUAUCUCUUUGUUAUACUUCCCCCCUGUUUUAUUUGUAGUUUUCUUCCUCUCUACUUCUUCUGGUGUUCUCUCUCUUACCUUUUCUGUUUUGAUUUUGUUUGGUCGCCUGCCCCGCCCCCCCCGCCACCCUCCGGGCUGAGGGGAACCUUUUUCUUACAAUAAGGAGCUGUUGUCUGGGGGGUGGGCCCUAUUGGCCUAUAUGUCCCAACCCACUAAUUUUUUAAAGAGGGAAAUCAUGUACUUCCGCCUUGUUUUUAACUCCACCAUUCACUAGUUUUCUCUCUCCAUGAUUUUCAGCUUUUUGCCAGAGCCUUAUAAUUUUUUGAGGGGAAUUAGGCCCCACUUGCCUUUUCUCCCCAUUCUGGCCAUCACUGCAUGGCCAGCAAAGUAACAUUCAAGCACUGUACGGUUUGCCAUGCGAAGAUCCUGCCCUUGGAUGCUCUGCCUUGGGGAGUUUCACAUAGUCAACUCUUGUAUUCAUUGCCUGAAGUUUACCAAACAGGCAUGUAAAAAGUGGGCAGUUUGACUACAAUCCCUCUUGUGAGAAAAAGCUCUUGCACCUAUAGCAUCAGUACUCACCACCUCUCAGGAUGCCUGCUCCAUGGAAAAGGAUCUGGGCCAAGCACCUAGUGGAUACUAGUGCUGAUCCUGCUAAGAAAAAGAAGCAUGUCCCUGCUCCAGCUGUGCACUCUUCACUGACCAUGAUGUAAUCAAAACCGACGAAGAGGCACUUCCUUCCCCCAGUGGGGCAGGGUCUCCCGAAGAUUCCUAAAAAGACACAGUCAGAAUUGCCUCUGAAACUGAUGCUCCCAGUCUGCCCUAUAGACUCAGAUCUGGAUGCCUUGGACCUGGAAGACCUAGUCGACCCCAACUUACUAUGUGACAUGGACCCAACAUCUUCUGUUCUGGACGAUGAGCCUAGAUCUGAAAGUUGAAACUCUUCUUGUAGCACACUGAAACCUACUGCCCUUGGGACCCAUAUCAAACCCGAUGGCAAGAAUACUGGGACCCUUAUGUGGAUCACCAUUGGUACUACAGAUCCAGAGACUGGGACUAUAGGGAGGAUUAUUCACAGUACCGACGUUCACCGUCUAAUGACAGCUACUGACAGCAUCAAUACUGGGGGAAUGCACCCAUCUACCAACCUCAUAUUUGCGACUCAUCUCAGAGCCAUAGUUUCACGUGGCAUAGACAUUGGUAUCAACCACAACGUCCAAGGACUUGGUCCAGAGAACACCUUAAGUCCAGCUCUCCACAACCUAAGCACCCCAAAAUCAGCACAGAGAUGCCCAAGAAGGAGGUUAAUGUCCCCUCUGCUCUGCUGCCUGUGACUCAAUUCCCACCUCUAGCCCUGGAGGAUGUUAUUCCAGCACAACUGGCCUUCAAAACCUUCUGACCCACUUGGACCUCCAGAGUCACAUUUCCAAGAUUCAGAACUGGACUCAGACGUGGAAUCCAAACACUCUUUAUCUAGUGUUCAUUUUUCACUGCUUGGGGAAAUCCCCAACCCCAAGCUGGAGUCCCCAGCAGAAGAAGUGUGCUCCCACUCAGAACAAGUCCUACAAAUGGCCACCUCUUUAGGCCUGAAAAUUAAACAUCUGACCAAACCUGAUCCAGACCCGAUCUUCGGGGUCAUUGAUGCAGACACCAAUACACAAGUGGCACUUCCUAUAUUUAAGCCCAUGCUAGAUGUCACCAAGGAUGCGUGGAUGAAAACAUGCUCAACUCAACCCACAUCUAAGCAUAUUGAAGCCUCGUAUAAGGUACAGGGACUCUGCUUUUUUGCAAUGCCAACUCAAUCAUUGUAGAGACAGCUCACUUGGACAAAACAUAGCCCUCUCUCAACUUUGUUGGACAGAGAAGGCCGGAAAAUUGAUUCCAUUGGAUGUCAGUUCUACUCCACCAUGACAUUACAACUGAAAACUGCUAACUAUCCGGACCUGUGAGUCAAGAAGCAAGUUAAUCCAACGUUUCAUCAAAGGUGAUUACAAAGGAACUGAAGGAAGAUGCGCCAACUGCCCCGCAUUAAUGGUCAUGCCCAGUGCAUUGCAGCUUCUCAAGAAGCUAUUGGAGUGCCCCAGAUGUUGGCCUGCACAGAUUUACUGUGCAAGCCUCAAUGUGAGCCAACAUCAGCAUCAGUUUCCUGCAGCAUGUUUUCAUGGUGAAUAUAAAAUGAAAUAAAAGCUUCACAUAUUAGAGAGUCCACAGUGAAAAUGCAGUGUGAACAGUGAAGCAUGGUAACAGCUACUGCAAUGUCUGAAGACGCCUUAAUAUUAAUGAUGGAGUCUAAGCUGCCUUGGAUUAGGACAAAACAUGUAGUAAGUACAGGAGUAAAUUGAUGCAAUUCAUUUUCUUGCAGCAUGAAGCAACUUUCCUCCAAAAUCCUCUGAUGAGAUAUUUGUGAAGGAGUCCUACAAAUCUUUUGAGGAGUUCAAAACCCUUUUGUUUCUCAAGCAACCAUGCAUUCAUGGACCUCAAAAAUGAAGGGGAGAAUGGAAAUGUACUCAAGUGUGUCAAAAAUUUGGUAGCCACAAAUAUGCUCCAGCCAAAGGGUCUGUUCAUCAAAAGACCCUCGUGUUUAUAGCAGGAGAAUAAAUUAUAUUCAUAUGAAUACAAUUUAUCAUAAUUUAGCUACCUGUAUAAUAAUGGGGCUUAUUGCAUGUAGACACUCAAAAUGUAGGUUAGACGAUAGGCUGGGUAAAUGUCUAUUUUUAAAGGCCCUAGAAUGUGCUGGCUGGAGUUGCAAAUAUGGAAGAGCUGGCAGAUAUAACAUGACAGGAAGCUGUAAGAAAGGAGAUUUAGCAUUUCUUGCUGCUGUGUUAUCAUAGACCCUUCCCCAACCAGACAAUCCAAGAAAUGUGAAAGUUGUCUGGAACAGAGGAUGACAGAGGAUUUGUAGAAGGAGAAAACAUGAGGUAUGUACUGAAUAAAGAAGGGUCUGGAUUAAAGAGUUCCGGAUAAGUUGAGGUUUUACUGUAUUUUACCUUGUCUGCAGCAAUGGUGCUAAAUUAUCAUGGUAUUGAUAGGGGGCCGCACUGUAAAAGAAAUAUUACAGAUAAAAUAGUUGGGUUUAUUUUGGUUCAUUAAGUCUCAUCUCUCUCUGCAGAUGAAGAAUGCAUUUCUUUCCCUUAGGGUUAAAAACUGGCACAGGAUGAAAAGCAUUCAAGCAAAAGGUCCAGCAAGAGUGACAGCAAAAGUCAUUAAUUCCAAGUUGUUGAAAGACGAGGCUGUUGGUAAGAUGCUAGGAAUUAAAACCCAAACAAGCCACUUUACUCACCCAACCGAAUGCACCCGUGUUUGCAUUACAGAAGAUGCAUUGCAAAACUGCUCCCCCACCAUCCUAUUUCUGCACAAGGUUCCACCCUUUGGUGUGAGAAAUUAAAUCACUUCCCGACAAACAUAUACAAUCAUAGCAGUCGACAUCGUUAUUGGCCUUUUCUCUUUAGCUCCAUUGUAACAAGAAAGAGCUAAGGUCAAAGGACAACCAAAGAUUUCACUUUUUGAGACUUUCCAGGUCCUGGAGUCAUGCUUAAAGUUAUUCUGGAUUGAUUUUGGCCCCUGCAGACCCAGAACUUUUGGUCUUCCUAUUGCUAGCCAUGGUUCAGGCCCCUAUACUACUAGACUUGAUGUUUAAAGGCAGUUUUCAGAUGGAAGGGCAUGCAAUUAAUAGGUCAUGUUGCCUAUCCAGUGAAGUAAAGGGAUGAAAAAAACAAGUUGCAAGAUUUUAAAAGGAAAAUAUUAUUUAGGAAGGGAACUGUUAGAAAAAGAAGAUGGCAGCUAAAUUAUCAAGAGGACAUAUGGACUGGAACAGAAAUCAGAUAACAGCUGGAAUUCUAAUUGAGAGAUUGAUAUAUCACACAGGUGGGUCUCAAAACAAAGGAAGUUUCCACAUCCACCCAUAUGAUAAUCUCUUUGCCCUGACAAAUCCAGCAAGCUUUAAGUUUCUUGGUAGCAAUAAUUUCCUAAAAGAAAAGAACCCAAAACCAUUUCAGUACAAGCAACUUCAGGAAAUACCAAGCAUUGGAUGUUAUAUAUAAAUUGAUUAAAUGACUCAAGAAUUUUAAUCAGCCUUCUGAUACAACAAAUAUUUAUAUAUACAACCAAUAUUUAUAUACCAUUUUUCAAAGAAAGUUCCCAAAGUGGUUUCCAUAGAUAUUAAAUAAAACAAACAAACAAACAAAUAAAUGGCUCCCUGUCCUCAAAGGGCUCACAAACGAAAAAAGAAACAUAAGGUAGACACCAGCAACAGCCACUGGAGGGAUGCUAUGCUGGGAAUGUAUAGGGCCAGUUGCUCUCCCUGGGCUAUAUAAAGAGAAUCACCACUUUUAAAAAGUGCCUCCUUGCUCAGUUAGUAGGGGACUGAUAGAAGCAUAUGAAUCACAAAGUAAGAUCUCACUGUCCAAACAGGCAAUUUAUUUUCUGACUUUAAUGGACAUAAACAUCAAACCACCACAGCGACAGGCACUCUUGUAUUAGAAAAACAGCAACAAAAACAGGGCAACAGACACAACAGCUGCCACUGCGGCAAGUGUGGGAGAUUUACAUUGCCCCAACAGGCAUACUUUUAUGCCAAGCAGGCAUUUACCAGAAAACAGUUUGAUCUAGAUGUCAGGUGGCAAUGUUUUACCAUUACAAAUUCAGAGAGCAAUUUUUCCAUAUCAGUGGUGAAUCAUCAUGGUCCAGCAGCCUCAAAAAGUCUUGAGAAAGAUCUUAGCAACAAACCUUAACAGAAAAUAUUACCAACCUGGUCAAAUCUUCAAUGUCUACCAGCAUGGCAUCCUGUUCUGUGUGCAGUUCAUCUCGAACAAGCAGCAGUUGCACCAGUUCUUCAUUCAAGCCUGCCACCAGAAGGGAGGGAGGUGGGAAUAAUUCAGUGUUAUUAUUUAGCCACAUUUCCCCCCAUGACCAAUGUUUUGGAGUCUGUUACUCAUCAUGGUACAGAAACGCAACAGCUCACUCAAAGAAACAGAAAGGUUCUCACUAGGUUUGGCUGGCAUAUAAAUAAGGAAGGCUAUGAAGUAAUGGAUUAAGAACAAUGGCUAAUAUUGUUCAAAACAAGUCUUGGCAAAACAGAAAAAUGAUGCUACUGUUUGGCUCAUGAGAUAACCAAGAAUGACUUUUUAAAGUGAAACACUCUCUUAACAUUCUAAGUGUAGGAGCGACCCAUAGAAUAUCUGGCACAUUCCCAGGCAAGGGUGGCAAUGGAAAAUCUACCAAAAUCUACUGGUGCUCUUAUGUUCAUGAGAAUGCUGCCUGGAAGAGAAAUUCCACUGUUAAAGAUGUCCCAUCUAUAUAGAAGCAAGAAUGCAGCUUUUGCUCCCAUUGCAACAGCUGCCGAUACUUGAAGAAGCACUGCUGUACUGUGCCAAUUUCAUGUUAGCAGAAAACAACUAAAUAAAUGCUUCCUUCUCUAAUGAAGAAAGGCCCUCACUGUAACAGGACAGCAUACAUCUAAGCUAUUGCUGCUUUGGGGUGCAAUCCAUUAGAGAUAUUUAAAGUCCCCUGCAUCUCAGUGGGAUUCAUAUUUAGUUUUGUAUUGGUUUAUGUCUGUCUAAAAUGAAGUGUGCAAAUACAUUAUUUUUUCUUAAUAAACUGAUGGAUAUG